rnacentral:rRNA from 1 species
GAUGAACGCUGGCGGCGUGCCUAAUACAUGCAAGUCGAGCGAACGGACGAGAAGCUUGCUUCUCUGAUGUUAGCGGCGGACGGGUGAGUAACACGUGGAUAACCUACCUAUAAGACUGGGAUAACUUCGGGAAACCGGAGCUAAUACCGGAUAAUAUUUUGAACCGCAUGGUUCAAAAGUGAAAGACGGUCUUGCUGUCACUUAUAGAUGGAUCCGCGCUGCAUUAGCUAGUUGGUAAGGUAACGGCUUACCAAGGCAACGAUGCAUAGCCGACCUGAGAGGGGGGCCGGCCCAGUGGGAACUGAGACACGGGCCAGACUCCAACGGGGGGCAGCAGGAGGAAAUUGCCCGCAGGGGCGGAAGGCCUGACGGGCAACCGCCGCGGGGGGUAAGAGGGUUUGCGGUUGUUAAAACUUUUUUAUGAGGGAAAAAAAAUUGUUUAAGAAAAUGUGCACAUUUUGAGGUCACCAAAUAAAAAAGCCCGGGCAACCUCCG